rnacentral:rRNA from 1 species
UGGGGAGUACGGCCGCAAGGUUAAAACUCAAAUGAAUUGACGGGGGCCCGCACAAGCGGUGGAGCAUGUGGUUUAAUUCGAUGCAACGCGAAGAACCUUACCUACUCUUGACAUCCAGAGAAUUUAGCAGAGAUGCUUUAGUGCCUUCGGGAACUCUGAGACAGGUGCUGCAUGGCUGUCGUCAGCUCGUGUUGUGAAAUGUUGGGUUAAGUCCCGCAACGAGCGCAACCCUUAUCCUUUGUUGCCAGCGAUUCGGUCGGGAACUCAAAGGAGACUGCCGGUGAUAAACCGGAGGAAGGUGGGGAUGACGUCAAGUCAUCAUGGCCCUUACGAGUAGGGCUACACACGUGCUACAAUGGCGUAUACAAAGAGAAGCGACCUCGCGAGAGCAAGCGGAACUCAUAAAGUACGUCGUAGUCCGGAUUGGAGUCUGCAACUCGACUCCAUGAAGUCGGAAUCGCUAGUAAUCGUAGAUCAGAAUGCUACGGUGAAUACGUUCCCGGGCCUUGUACACACCGCCCGUCACACCAUGGGAGUGGGUUGCAAAAGAAGUAGGUAGCUUAACCUUCGGGAGGGCGCUUACCACUUUGUGAUUCAUGACUGGGGUGAAGUCGUAACAAGGUAACCAAGGGCGAAUUCGCGGC